UGGAAGUAAAAAGUCGUAACAAGGUUUCCGUAGGUGAACCUGCGGAAGGAUCAUUACCGAGUGAGGGCCCUCUGGGUCCAACCUCCCACCCGUGUUUAUUUUACCUUGUUGCUUCGGCGGGCCCGCCUUAACUGGCCGCCGGGGGGCUUACGCCCCCGGGCCCGCGCCCGCCGAAGACACCCUCGAACUCUGUCUGAAGAUUGAAGUCUGAGUGAAAAUAUAAAUUAUUUAAAACUUUCAACAACGGAUCUCUUGGUUCCGGCAUCGAUGAAGAACGCAGCGAAAUGCGAUACGUAAUGUGAAUUGCAAAUUCAGUGAAUCAUCGAGUCUUUGAACGCACAUUGCGCCCCCUGGUAUUCCGGGGGGCAUGCCUGUCCGAGCGUCAUUGCUGCCCUCAAGCCCGGCUUGUGUGUUGGGCCCCGUCCCCCGAUCUCCGGGGGACGGGCCCGAAAGGCAGCGGCGGCACCGCGUCCGGUCCUCGAGCGUAUGGGGCUUUGUCACCCGCUCUGUAGGCCCGGCCGGCGCUUGCCGAUCAACCCAAAUUUUUAUCCAGGUUGACCUCGGAUCAGGUAGGGAUACCCGCUGAACUUAAGCAUAUCAAUA
rnacentral:rRNA from 1 species